UUCAUUAGUAGGUCAUCAAGAAAGAUUCAGUGACCACCUAAUGACCAGCUGUGAUCAUUAAUGAGGAGGUCUGUAUUCUUGAGCUCUCAGCUUUUCCAGAGGACAGUGGAGCUCACUUGCUGGAACACAGAUGCUCGCAGCUGCAGGUAUAUAUUCUUCAUGGGAAAUGCAACGAUUUUGUGAGAAGCAGUGAUAAUCAUCAGACAUCUUCUGCAACCUUUUUCUAAAAGAAUUCUCAAAGAUGUGUUAAAGAAGUGAAUUCAGAGCCAUGAACAACAUCUAGAAAUGCUGAGGGCCAAGACGAUAGAAAUGUCAAGUGUGCUUAAAUAUGGGGCUUCCUUUUACUGCACAAUGUAAAGCAUUUACAGCACUUAUGCACAGGCAAUGUCUACACACUUACAAGCGUGCCAUUUAUCUGUAAUAUUGACACCUCAAAAUGAAAUUGUAAAAGGCCAAGGCAGAUGGAAUCAAAAUCUCUCACACGCAAAUAACAUUCAUUCCAUUCACUUUAGAGGAAAAAGUACUGAUGAAA